rnacentral:rRNA from 1 species
GAAACGACUCUCGGCAACGGAUAUCUCGGCUCUCGCAUCGAUGAA